UGUGACACGUAAUUCAAAAUUGCGUGUAACAAAGUCACUUACCAGUGACUUUAUUUGGCAUCAAAAUUCUUGUAUAAAAACAUUAAAAACCCAUCAUGUAUCUCAGUAGCCGGAUAUUCAAAUGCAGUAAUUGCUACAAGCCAAUGGAGCGACGGUUGGGCUUGUUCCAAGCUCAGGACGAUUUCGAAUGUUAUUCUGACAGCUACGUCAAGUGUUUCUGGGGGCUGUGUGAUGUACGGCAUGACAGCAAGGAGUGUCUCCGACCAAAGCCUGAUGGCCAAGUUAUAACCAUGCAACCAAAAUGCAAGGAAGUACCGUGUUAAGCCUAAUAGUCAUCUCAGAUCAUAUUGUUUGAUUUCUAAUUUCUUUAAAUGAAUACCAAUAAUAUAAUUUAAGACUUUAUUUCAUGUGUCAUUAAAAUGAUAAUCAAUUAAACUA